UACGGAGGGGGCAAGCGUUGUUCGGAAUUACUGGGCGUAAAGGGCGCGCAGGCGGCUGCUCAAGUCAGGCGUGAAAGGCCUGGGCUCAACCCGGGAAUUGCGCUUGAGACUGGGCUGGCUUGAGUGCGGGAGAGGAUGGUGGAAUUCCCAGUGUAGAGGUGAAAUGCGCAGAUAUCAGGAAGAACACCGAUGGCGAAAGCAGCUCUCUGGGACGGUACUGACGCUGAGGCGCGAAAGCGUGGGGAGCGAACAGG
rnacentral:rRNA from 1 species